rnacentral:rRNA from 1 species
UACGUAGGGGGCUAGCGUUGUCCGGAUUUAUUGGGCGUAAAGAGCGUGUAGGCGGCCAGGUAGGUCUGCUGUGAAAACUCGAGGCUCAACCUCGAGACGUCGGCGGAAACCAUCUGGCUAGAGUCCGGAAGAGGAGAGUGGAAUUCCUGGUGUAGCGGUGAAGUGCGCAGAUAUCAGGAGGAACACCGGUGGCGAAGGCGGGUCUCUGGGCCGAUACUGACGCUGAGGAGCGAAAGCGUGGGGAGCGAACAGG